CUCAAAGGUCUUGUUUCUGCCGAAUUUUCAUCGGCUGUCCCUUGCCUUUAUGGGUAGGAGAUGACCCGCCUUCCCCCUGCUCGGUUAUGGGUCUCCCUCCCCUCCUUGGGGUGGGGUUGUGUAUAUUUCUUUUGGACUUGCUUUUGUUGCAUGCAGGUGUAGUUUGAUUUGAAGAGGGUCUUGGAGAAACCUGGAUGGUGAUGGAUCUUAUGUGCAGCGAUGGUGAAGUUGUCCUCUUGGGCAGCGAUUCUGCUUGCUGGUUUUAGGCUAUG
rnacentral:misc_RNA from 1 species